rnacentral:rRNA from 1 species
UACGUAGGGUGCGAGCGUUGUCCGGAAUUAUUGGGCGUAAAGAGCUCGUAGGCGGUGUGUCGCGUCGGCCGUGAAAACCUGGGGCUUAACUCUGGGCGUGCGGUCGAUACGGGCAUCACUGGAGUUCGGCAGGGGAGACUGGAAUUCCUGGUGUAGCGGUGAAAUGCGCAGAUAUCAGGAGGAACACCGGUGGCGAAGGCGGGUCUCUGGGCAGUAACUGACGCUGAGGAGCGAAAGCGUGGGUAGCAAACAGG